AAGGUACUUCAGCUUUGUUUUAUUUCCAUUUCACAUUGUUGUCUGUGUUGUGAUUCAAUACCUGGUGCUUGAUAUUUACAUGCAAAAGCACCAUUUCUGAUGUAUAAAAUUGUUUUGUAAAUAUAGAGAAUUCAAUUGUAAAUAUAUUAUCAUGGCUAUUUAAAAAAUAAAUAAAAUGAGUAAAGGAUUUGAAAAGACAUUUCUCCAAUGAUAUUCAAAUGGCUAUUACUAAAAACAUUAGUUAUUUGGAAAAAAAUAACUUAAAACUACAAUAAGAUGCCCUAGCAUUGCUAUAAUUUUAAAAGAGACAGACAAUAACAAGUGUUGGCAAGGACAUAGGAAAGCUAGGACCCUAAUACAUUGCUGUUAGGAGAGUAAAAUAGGGCAGCUGUUAUGGAAAAAGAAUUUCCCCCCAAAAGUUACACACAGAAUUACCGCCUGACUCAGCAAUUCCACUCCUAAGAGAAUUGAAAACGUGUUCACAUAAAAGCUUAUACAUAAAUAUUCACAUCAUGCUCCAGUGUGGUUAUUUGUAAUAACCAAAAAGUAGAAACAACCCAUAUUUCCACCAAUUAAUAAAAUGGAUAAACAAAGUGUGACUUAUAUAUUAAGUAUUAUUUAGCCAUAAAAAGAAUGAAACACUGUUACAUGCUAUAAGGAUGAACUUUAAAAACAUGCUGAGUGAAGAAGCCAGAGACAAAAGAUUACACAUUAUAUAUAUAUCAUUUGUAUGAAACGUCAAGACAAGGCAAAUUCUAUAGAGACAGAAAGAUUAGUGGUUGUCAGGGAUGAAAAAGGAGGAAAUCAGACUGGUUGUUAAUAGGAACAGUUUCUUUUCAGAAUGAUGAAAAUGUUCUGAUGUUAGUAUGUAUUACACAACAUAGUGAAUAUACUAAAAACUACUAAUUGUACACCAUAAGAUGAUAAAUUUUAGGGGCUAAGGAUAUAACUCAGUUGGUAAAGUGCUUGCUUCACAUGCACAAAGCUCUGGGUUCAAUCCCCAGCACCACACACAUACAAAACAAGAUGGUAUACUUUAUGCAAGGACCCAGGUCUAGCCCCCAGCAUCAUACAUACACACACACACACACACACACAGAACAGGAAAUUAUGUGUGUGUUUAAUUAUGUAUACAUAUCCAUGUACAUUAUGUACAUAUCUAAAAUUAUAAUUUUAUAUUUAAAAAUUAAAUUUUAAAAAAAAUUAAGUAGGAUCCUAAACUUGAAAUAAAUUCUAAGCAAUUGUGUAGGUCAAAGUGCAAACCUACUUGCAAAAGGACAAAAUGGGAAAGUGCCCUUCCCUUCCCAUCAGAACUGGUUAGAUGUGAUUUUUGUGUUCAGAUACAAUUUAUGAUACCUGCCCUUUUUUUAGCAUACAUUAGAUCAACUGAAAAACAAUUUUUUUGUUGUGAGUUUAUAUCUAGUUCUUACAACAUUCUCUUUUACUCUGCUUUAUGUUCACCAUAGUACUUAUUCAGUAGGAUAUAAGUUCCUUGAGAAAAAAUGUUGUUGGUUUUAUCUGCAAAAAUAAAAGGUUGUUAGAAAACAAAGCAGGAAAAUGCCUAUAAGUUUAAAAAUCUAUAGAAAUUUCCAUCUAUUUCAUAUAAAUGCCAUUUUGUGAUGUUUCAGAAAAUAAAUUACUUGAGCUACCUGUUAAUCCUUUGGGAAGAGGCCCAGAUUCUUUCCCAUAUGAGAAUUAAAGCCCAGGUUACUAACCCUCUUCCUGAAGGUCCAGGUUUGCUGUGGUCUGGCCAAUUAAACUCACAUAAUCAGAUCCUUACAUGCAACUUUCUUUCUCAUGGGAGAUAGUGAAUUUCCUAAUAAAUCUUACUAAGAGGAUCUCAGUACCCUGAAGUUGACUUUCAGGAAAAGUGUAUAUUAGUAUUCUUCCUUUCUGAUUUAUUUGUUCACAAUCCACUAGAAUACUUCUGAUUGUAGGUUCUAUUACCCUUAAGGUCUUGGUUUCUCUUGGAUUACUUGAUCAUGGGCGUUUUGAUCUAAAUACAGACAAAAUAUUUCUUAACAUUGGCAGAUACUUGCAAAAUAGGGGGAAUGAGCUUCCCUCUGAAUACAUAUGAAGGAGAGGCCACCAUGUCAUCUAGAUGUCUUCUCAGAGCCACUCCAAUCCUGGAUCACUGUGGAGAGUAAAGGGUUACUUCUUCCAGAUCCCUUUUGACCUAUUUUCAGCUGUGGAUUCAUGAGACUCAAGAACAGUAACAUUAUCACCUGGCAGUGAUUUUGUUGCCAUGGCAGCUGUUUGUAUACUGGCCAUAUACCCAGCAUGACAAAGGAAAAUAAUGUGAAUAUUUCCGGUCUACCAAAGGAUAGAGUGACUUCUGGAACUUCAUUUUAGGAAAUUCAAGAAACAGAUGAAAAACCCCAGCUGAAAAGGUCACACUCAAGGACAAUAUAAUUUCCUAAUGCCUGGCAAUGGCAGGAAGGGACACAUUCAUGGAACACUAUAUAAGAACAUCUGUUUCUAGUCAAGCAUGAUUUAUGGUGCCAAACAGAUGCCAGAUGAACUCAUUAAAGCUGACAAAGUCUCAA